rnacentral:lncRNA from 1 species
AAGAGUUGAAAUUUAGCUUGAAUUAUGACUCAAGACAUAAACUUAAAUCAAAUUGUUGGGAGCCGAAAUCCCUGAUCCUUGACUCGGUCAAAGGUCCUCCUCGGGGAGCGUGUCGGGACAUGGAACGGUUGCGAAUAGUGACUCUCGAAGUUUGCACCAUUCGACUGAAUCAAGCGAUUCGGCUGACGAGAGAUCAGAUCAGCCGAGUUUAAAAACCUUUACUAUAGAAUUGGCUCGGCUGAAAGAGCCGAAUAGAUGAAAUGCACAAUAAUUGGUUGGCUGAUGAGCCGAAUAUAUGGAAUACACAAUGAUUGGUCGGUUGAAAGAGCCGAAUGCUUUUAUAUAUUAAUAAAACAGAGUGUGCCCGAAGGGCAUACAGACUCUGAAAAUAUAGUUUACAACAAAGUGUGUUCGUGGGGCAUACAGACUCUACAAAUAUAGUCUACAACAAAGUGUGCCUGUGGGGCAUACAGACUCCAGAGAUCUAAUUUAAAAACUACUCCUAGGAAAGCAGUAAAUGCGGAAAAGAAACAGAUUAUAUUUAGACUACUCCUAGAAAAGCGAUAAAAUUGCAGAGGAAAUAAAGAUGAUCUUUUGUUCCAACGGGAAGAGACCCCUAUUGCAGACUUCAAAAUUACUAUUUAUAGUUAUAUCAACCCACAUUAUUGGUUGGUUGAAAAUAGUGGGAGGAGUGGUUGUAACCAUGAUCGUGGAAGUUACGCCCACACCCACUCCUCAUAGAAGUUACUCCUCAUCGUGAAAGUUACGCUCCACUUCUCAACCGUUCCCACCUAAAACCUUUAGGCGCCUUAUUGCCGACUCCUGGUAUACCACAUGUCCUUAUUGGCUCAUACGUGGGUUAGGUCGGCAUGUUAAUUUCAAUUUUGGCAUCAAUACAAAUAAAAUUUUUUUAAAAAAAAUUAAGAGUCUAGUGACUUUCUGAUAUGGUGUUAAAUAAAAUAAUAUAAAACAAUUAUAUUUUUCAAAAUUUUAAAUAUCAAAAAUAUAAUAUUUUUGAACUUUAAAUUCAACAAAUUCUAGUAUCUACUCCACUCUAAACCCUACCAAAUUUGAGUAAAACAUGCACAUCAUAAUAUCGGGUAAUAUAUGAUGGGGAGCAAACUAUAUAUAUACUAGAAUUUUUUUUAAAACAAAUUAGACUAAUUAAAAUCUAUAUUUGUGAAAACAAAUUUGUCAAAAUUUACAUGUA